rnacentral:rRNA from 1 species
CGGCUCCUACGGGGCGCAGCAGUGGGGAAUAUUGCACAAUGGGGGAAACCCUGAUGCAGCGACGCCGCGUGAAGGAAGAAGUAUUUCGGUAUGUAAACUUCUAUCAGCAGGGAAGAAAAUGACGGUACCUGACUAAGAAGCCCCGGCUAACUACGUGCCAGCAGCCGCGGUAAUACGUAGGGGGCAAGCGUUAUCCGGAUUUACUGGGUGUAAAGGGAGCGUAGGCGGUGCAGCAAGUCAGAAGUGAAAGCCCGGGGC